ACGGAGGGUGCAAGCGUUAUUCGGAAUCAUUGGGUGUAAAGCGAGUGUAGGCAGCUGGGUAAGUUAGAUGUGAAAGCUCUGGGCUUAACCCGGAAAGUGCAUUUAAAACUGCCUGGCUUGAGUCUCGUAUAGGAAGUUGGAAUUCCCAGUUUACAGGUAGGGUUCGUAGAUAUUUGGAUGAACGCCGGUGGCGAAGGCGACCUUCUGGGCGCAGACUGACACUUAGACGUGAAAUAGUGUGGAUCAAGCAU
rnacentral:rRNA from 1 species